UGGGGAAUAUUGCGCAAUGGGCGAAAGCCUGACGCAGCGACGCCGCGUGUGGGAUGACGGCCUUCGGGUUGUAAACCACUGUCGGGAGGGACGAAUGCGCCGCAAGGCGAGUGACGGUACCUCCAAAGGAAGCACCGGCUAACUCCGUGCCAGCAGCCGCGGUAAUACGGAGGGUGCGAGCGUUGUCCGGAAUCACUGGGCGUAAAGGGCGCGUAGGCGGCCUGAGAAGUAGGGGGUGAAAUCCUGCGGCUUAACCGCAGGGCUGCCUUCUAAACUGUCAGGCUAGAGCACAGUAGAGGCAGGUGGAAUUCCCGGUGUAGCGGUGGAAUGCGUAGAGAUCGGGAAGAACAUCAGUGGCGAAGGCGGCCUGCUGGGCUGUUGCUGACGCUGAGGCGCGACAGCGUGGGGAGCAAACAGG
rnacentral:rRNA from 1 species